rnacentral:rRNA from 1 species
UACAGGGGGGGCAAGCGUUGUUCGGAAUUACUGGGCGUAAGGGGCUCGUAGGCGGCCAACUAAGUCCGACGUGAAAUCCCCAAGCUUAACUUGGGAACUGCGUCGGAUACUGGAUGGCUUGAAUUCGGGAGAGGGAUGCAGAAUUCCAGGUGUAGCGGUGAAAUGCGUAGAUAUCUGGAGGAAUACCGGUGGCGAAGGCGGCAUCCUGGACCGACAUUGACGCUGAGGAGCGAAAGCUAGGGGAGCAAACGGG